GCCAAUAGAGGAGGAGGGGCCUAUAGAGGAGGAGGGGCCAAUAGAGGAGGAGGAGCCUGUAGAGGACGGGAGGGAGGUUGAAGAUGCCACAGAUGCAGCUGCUCUGGAGGAAACUCCUGAAGAAUUAGAGGAGGAUCAAUCAGUUCCAGAUAAAGAAGAGGUAGAGGAGGAAGCAGAGGAAGCAGCAGCAGCAGGAGACUUUGCUGAUACAGAGGAACAGCAUAAGGAUGAGCCCACAGCAGAAACGUAGAGGCAGCAGCGCUCACUGUGCUGAUGGAGCCGCUGAUGGAUCAGCGCAAUCUGAGCUCGCUCAGAGUCAUGCAUUUCUCCACAUACAGAGAAGUCUCCGUGACAACCCCACCCCCAUCUUCACUUCCUCUUUUUAAAAUGUUCCUUUAGUAAAAAUGUGAGACUUUGGAUAAAUUGUUUACUAAAACGGUAUUGCUGUUUGUUUUCCCCAUCCUGUAUUUUCAUCAUUCCUUUUUGCAUCCUUUUUGUUUGUUGUUUUUUCUUUUUUUUUUAAUUUAGCAACAUAAGUAGCUCAGAGUUUGGGGAAUGUUUGGGAUAUGUGUGCGUCUACCUGCAAUAUCAAACUAUUUCUUUCAUUUUUGAGUCUUUCUGUAUAAUAAUUUUGUUUUAGAGCCAGAUCCUGCUGCAGUUUCAUUAACGUUAGUGAUGAAGUCAAACUUUAAUCUGAAACGUUGGUCUGAAUGCAGCCAGAGCACAUUUCCUGUCUCCUGACUAGAACCUCAUUCUCUGUUCAUGCAGUCGGUCCAGUCGGCUCUGCUCCUUCUUUCAUGUAAAUGUUGAGGUCAGCUCUGGCCACUUCUGAUUCUAUGCAAAGGUGAGGCGGCAUUCACCUCACCACCACCACCCCCACACCUUCCUCUGCCCACUCCAGGCCAGAUGAAUGACCACUCCUGGAUGAGCCAUGUGCUAGGACCUGCACUCUGACAGAAAACUGUGUGUGCGUGUCUGUGUGUGUGUGAGAUUGAGUUGUCUGUUGAGCGUUUAUCUAAUCACUUCUUUCUGAGCCCAUGUAAUCAGGAUGUCUAUGUUUGAGACUUUACCUCUUCUUCCUCCUCUCAGUGUGACUGACUGACUAUUUGCUCUGUAAGUUCUGUUUCCCUGGUAUCAUCACCUGACCAGAAAACAAGUUGUCAGAAGUUUUAAAGUGAAGCUUCAGGUCCUGAAGUGUGAGCUCAAGCCAGCUGUGGAUUCAGGCUGCACUGAAGCAUUUUCACUCCAUGACAUGCAAUCGUUCUUCUUGUUGACUUACUUCUGACUCAUGGGGCGUCAAACAGAUCAGCCAUUAUGUUUUUGAGGAAACUUCAGCCAGGGGUGUCCCGAUACAACUUUAUCGGUUUUGGCAGAUACUGAUGUUAACCAGAUGCAAUGUCAGCACAAAUUAAACAUACUUUUAUUACUUAUUUUGUAGUGUGCAAUGUUUGAAAAGGCUUGAUCAAGUGAUUUUACUCCAAUAGCCAACAACAAAUAGGAGAACAACUGACCCGUUUAUCGUUAAAUGCGUCUGCCUGUGGAUGACGAUCUGGGCAGGCUAAAUGCUCAGAGUGCUAAAUAUCAGUGUGCUUCUAUCAGCAGGCCCAUAUAAUCAGUUUCUGAUACCGGAUCGGGACACCCUUAGCUUCAACUAGCUGUGAGUCGAAUUGUGUUGUUUAACUUCCCGGUUCCGUCUUAAAGGGAUAACUUUUAUUAUUCCAUCAUUUUCUUUUACCUUCGUGACAUUACAAACCUGAUGAAAUAUUUUCCUACACAUCCAACCAUGAUUGAUUUUAAUGUCUGUAUACAGAACUGUAUUCUGAAUACUGCAGAAGCUGGCUUGUAAACUGAGCAUCCAUCACUAAGCUUCUGGUGAAAUCCACUGACACACCACCAAUCAGAGACACCGAUGAAACGGUCCAGUCCCUGCAGCGCCGCAUUAGAAAGCAGCAGCUGGGCUUUGGUGUCUCUAACCCCUCACCUUGUGGGGGAUGUGUGCUAGCUGUGGUUUUGUCCUGUAA